GACGAACGCUGGCGGCGUGCUUAACACAUGCAAGUCGAACGAUGAAGCCCAGCUUGCUGGGUGGAAGAGUGGCGAACGGGUGAGUAACACGUGAGUAACCUGCCCUGAACUCUGGGAUAAGCACUGGAAACGGUGUCUAAUACUGGAUACGACCUAUCACCGCAUGGUGUGUGGGUGGAAAGAUUUAUCGAUUUUGGAUGGACUCGCGGCCUAUCAGCUAGAUGGUGAGGUAAUGGCUCACCAUGGCGACGACGGGUAGCCGGCCUGAGAGGGUGACCGGCCACACUGGGACUGAGACACGGCCCAGACUCCUACGGGAGGCAGCAGUGGGGAAUAUUGCACAAUGGGCGCAAGCCUGAUGCAGCAACGCCGCGUGAGGGAUGACGGCCUUCGGGUUGUAAACCUCUUUUAGUAGGGAAGAAGCGAAAGUGACGGUACCUGCAGAAAAAGCACCGGCUAACUACGUGCCAGCAGCCGCGGUAAUACGUAGGGUGCAAGCGUUGUCCGGAAUUAUUGGGCGUAAAGAGCUCGUAGGCAGCUUGUCGCGUCUGCUGUGAAAUCCCGGGGCUCAACCCCGGGCCUGCAGUGGGUACGGGCAAGCUAGAGUGCGGUAGGGGAGAUUGGAAUUCCUGGUGUAGCAGUGGAAUGCGCAGAUAUCAGGAGGAACACCGAUGGCGAAAGGCAGAUCUCUGGGCCGCUACUGACGCUGAGGAGCGAAAGCAUGGGGAGCGAACAGGAUUAGAUACCCUGG
rnacentral:rRNA from 1 species